rnacentral:rRNA from 1 species
UACGUAGGGUGCAAGCGUUGUCCGGAAUUAUUGGGCGUAAAGAGCUCGUAGGCGGUUCGUCGCGUCGGCUGUGAAAUCCCGAGGCUCAACCUCGGGUCUGCAGUCGAUACGGGCGGACUGGAGUUCGGCAGGGGAGACUGGAAUUCCUGGUGUAGCGGUGAAAUGCGCAGAUAUCAGGAGGAACACCGGUGGCGAAGGCGGGUCUCUGGAACGCAACUGACGCUGAGACGCGAAAGCGUGGGGAGCAAACAGG